rnacentral:rRNA from 1 species
UAGGGAAUCUUCCGCAAUGGACGCAAGUCUGACGGAGCAACGCCGCGUGAGUGAAGAAGGAUUUCGGUUCGUAAAACUCUGUUGUUAGAGAAGAACAGCGCAUAGAGUAACUGUUAUGCGUGUGACGGUAUCUAACCAGAAAGCCACGGCUAACUACGUGCCAGCAGCCGCGGUAAUACGUAGGUGGCAAGCGUUGUCCGGAUUUAUUGGGCGUAAAGCGAGCGCAGGCGGUCAAUUAAGUCUGAUGUGAAAGCCCCCGGCUCAACCGGGGAGGGUCAUUGGAAACUGGUUGACUUGAGUGCAGAAGAGGAGAGUGGAAUUCCAUGUGUCACGGUGAAAUGCGUAGAUAUAUGGAGGAACACCAGUGGCGAACGCGACUCUCUGGUCUGUAACUGAAGCUGAGGCUCGAAAGCGUGGGUAGCAAACAGG